UGAUCGAUGAAGAACGCAGCUAGAUACGUUAAUCGGUGUAAUAUGCUAUAGCCAUAAGACAUCACUCGACUAUUCUAAUGCGCAAUGCAACUAGUCCUCUAAAGACUAGUUUCAUCUGAUUGAGAGUAUCAUGAAGUUUAAAUGAAAUGAAAUAGUUUUUUCAUUGAAAUUUGUAUUUGACUUAUAGUUGCUAAUAAUAUUUAAUAAAUAUUAUUAUUAUUAUUUAAGCAAUGAUUUGCGAUACUAAACAAGUAAGCUAUUUGUUUGGAUCGCUAAUAUGUGUUCAAAUAGAAACGAAACUGAAUGAUGCUUUUAAAUUAAAGGCUAUGUUUGAAGCAAUAAAUUUAAAAUCAUUUUAUAUAUGUAUAUAUAUAUGUAUCUCAGUCAGAUGAGAUUACCCGCUGAACUUAAGCAUAUA
rnacentral:rRNA from 1 species